CUAAAAAAAAAAAAAAAUACAAACACCAUCCUUCAAAUUGUUCUCUUUCAUUUCUUCUCUCACUAACUAAGCUAAACAUAAGCAAAAGUCUCCAGAACCUUGAAAAAAAUGCAGCCUUACCAGAACCCUCCCGCACUGGAUUCCGACCCGCAGCUGCCCCAAAUCAAAAUCCACCAUCCCUCUUCCCCUCGCCACCCCUCCCCUGCGGCCGCUACCCCCACGCCCACCGCUGGCGCGCGCCGCAAAAUCGGCGUGGCCGUGGACCUCUCCGACGAGAGCGCCUACGCGGUGCGCUGGGCCGUGCAGCACUACAUCCGCCCCGGUGACGCCGUGAUCCUGCUCCACGUCAGCCCUACGAACGUACUCUUUGGCGCCGAUUGGGGCUCUAUCGACCUCUCUAUAAACACCGAUCCGAAUUCUGACGAGGAGGCCGUCAACGCCGUCAACAACAACGACCACACCACCAAGCGCAAGCUCGAGGACGACUUCGAUGCGUUCACGGCGUCAAAGGCCGCGGAUCUCGCCAAACCGUUAAGGGAAGUGCAGAUUCCGUACAAGAUCCACAUCGUGAAGGACCACGACAUGAAGGAGAGACUGUGUUUGGAGGUGGAGAGGCUCGGGCUGAGCGCGGUCAUCAUGGGGAGCCGCGGGUUUGGUGCUGUGAGACGCGGGAGCGAUGGGAGGCUCGGGAGUGUGAGUGAUUACUGUGUGCAUCACUGUGUUUGUCCUGUGGUUGUUGUGCGUUAUCCUGAUGAUGUUGCUGCGACGGCUGAGGCGGUUGUGGCGGUGAAGGAGGUGGAUGAGGGCGAGGCGGUGAUCCAGUCCCACAAGAAAGGUUAGGGGCUUUCAGCUUCUUCAUUAAGGAUUAGUCGGAGACAACUCAUCACUUCAUCCGUGUCUCUGAAGAAUGGUUCUGAUCCGAAGGGAUAUAGGUGGAAAUGGUUGUAGAGUGCUCUCUUUCUCUUCCUGUCAGGUUGUACUUUGAGCAUUUCCUGUGGAAAGAUUAUGGGUGAUUUUGUAUGGCUUGAUCUGGGAUCCUUUAGGCUUUGGAAUAAUGUUUUUUGUUCCGAAGUGGUAUAUACUUUCACGUAGAUGUACAAGUUUGCCUGUGACUGCUUUUGGAGUUAUUUUCCCAUUCUGUAUGCUGUGGGAAAUCGGAUUAUCGUUAUGUGACCACUUGUUUAGAUAAUUUUAUAGAGCUAUGUUGAUGGAA